rnacentral:tRNA from 1 species
AUUGAGAUGUCUGAUUUAAGUGAUAAACUGUAAAUUUAUUUAAGGAUUAUAAAUUCCUCUCAAUA